UACGUAGGGUGCGAGCGUUAAUCGGAAUUACUGGGCGUAAAGCGUGCGCAGGCGGUGGCUCAAGCCAGGCGUGAAAUCCCCGGGCUUAACCUGGGAAUGGCGUUUGGGACUGGGUCGCUAGAGUGUGGCAGAGGGAGGUGGAAUUCCGACGUGUAGCAGUGAAAUGCGUAGAGAUGUGGAGGAACACCGAUGGCGCGAGGCAGCCUCCUGGGCCAGCACUGACGCUCAGUGCACGAAAGCGUGGGGAGCAAACAGG
rnacentral:rRNA from 1 species